GUACGCACUUGGCGUUGCCACUUCCCUUAGUUUGGUGAGCCGGGCCUGUGCGUAUCUCAUCGGUCUCCUGGCCAUCCUCUUACCCUGCUACCCGUUGUGUCUACGGAGUGCGCCGUCCCUUUCUCUUCGCACGAGAGAGCGCGUACACACGAGCAACAGAGCGAGAGACGAGGUGACUGACAACAGUGCGCUACACCGGCUCCGCAUUUUUGAGCUGCUGCACCAUGGUCUCCGAUGGGGCACAGAAGAGUGGGCCAGUACCGGGCGACCACGUUGACCAGCUCCUAGAGGAGUACCUGCGAGUCAUCAACGACAAGGAUGACCAGCUUCACCGUCUGCUCCGACAACUGCAAGAUCAAGAGGCAGCUGCCGGGCAGAGGGAGGAGGGCCACACCGCAAAGCAGAGACAGCUUUCGGAGCAGCUGCAGAGCAAGAGCAAAAAACUAAAGGAGAUGCAGGCGCAGUCCGCGCGUGAUGAGGAGGCGACUCGCAAACUCGUGCUCAACUCGGAGGCCCUCAAGAAGCAACUGCAGGAGAGCGAGGAGCACGCCAAGAGCCACGCGGUUGCGGCAGCUGAAGCCGCGGCAAAGCUUCACCGACUGGAAUGUGAAUUGUCCAACGCCCAGGCCACCCUUGCGGCGGUACAGGCCCAAAAAACGAAAUGCGACGAGGGAUGGGCGGCAACCCAGCUGCAGCUGGAGGCGCAGACCGCUGCUGUCGCGGACCUCAAGGGUGAGCUGGAGGUAGCUAAGCGGACACUAGGUGAGGCUCGGUCACAUGCGCAGCAGCUGCAGGCGCGCAUUCAGGAAAUGAUGCCGAUUCACGAGCACACGUCGGCGCUCGCCGCACUCGAGGCAAAGUCGGCGAGUGAGCGUGUAAAGAGCAAUCAAGACAUAGAAAAACUGCAAGAAGCGCUCUCUAGCGGCGAGAUAGAUCACCGUACGACGAAGCAGGAGCUUCGGAAAGCGCAGCAAGACGUGGAGGAGUUGACGGCCUUGCUACAGACCACCACGAAGUCGCUCGAUACCACUAAGCACCAGCUCAUGACGGCGGACUUGACGAAGCAGCAAACGGAACGAGAGCUGCGCGAGGAGGCAGCGCGGUGCCGGCGAGCGCAGAUGGAGUCUGCCGAGCGCGUUGGUGAGCUGGAGCGGUCCUUGGCGCGAUCGCAAGAGGUGCUCCAGCGCACCACGGCGGAGCUGCAGGCAGCCUGCGCCCAACACGAGCGCUACAAGGCGGUAUCGGAAAAGGCGCACGAGGGGGUGCAGGCACAAAACCGCACGCUGCAGGAGCAGCUGCGGCAAUCUCAGGACGAGGCGGACCGCGCGCGUCGGCUACUCGAGACCCGAGAGCGGGCGAUCAGCGACAGCGCCGACUCUCUAGCUCGCGUUCGUGAGGAGGCGACUCGCACGCAAGCAGAGCUGCGUGAGAGGCUGGCCACUGCCACGGCUGCCGCGGCUUCUCGAGCUGAGGAGUGUGAUCGUCUGCAGCACCAACUGAGCCGCGCGCAGUCGGAGCUGGCGGAUGCGCAACGGCGCACUGCUGCCGACGAGCAUAGCCUGGCGCAGAAGCUGGAGGAGCUGCAGGCCGGUGUGCAGCGUCUUCAUCUGCAGCUCCGAGACAAGGAGGAGGAGACGCGCCGUGCCGAGCUCGUUCACGGCAAGGAGCUGCAGAAGCUUCAGCACGACCACGCAUUCGCCGUAGAAGACAUGCGGCGCCGCCACGAGAGCGAGGUGCAGGACUUGCACGCGCGGCUGGAGCUCGCGCGCGCGGAGCUAAGUGAGAGGGCGGGUGGAUCAAAGGGGCUGGAGAAAGAACUCCAUCACGUCGCGGAGGUGCGGCAGAGCAUGCGGAGCGAGAUGAGCCGCCUGCAAAACGCCAUCGAAGCGAAGGAGAUUAUCAUUCAGGGCCUACAGCGCGAGGCCGAUAAGCAGCAGGCAGAGGUUGCCCAGCUCACGCAACGCUUGGCCGCGCAUGAGAGGAGUGAAGGCGUCCUGCGGCAGCGUAUUGAGGAGGCGGAGCGGGCUCAACUGGACUCCAAGGCAGCAAGAGAAAGAGCAGAGGAGAGCGUGGUGGCCAUCAGGAAAACCGCAGAGGUGAACGCCGCCACCCUUGCUGCGGUGGAGGCCCAGCUGAGCGAGAAGGACGGUGCCAUCGCCGCCCUCCGUAUGGAGGUGAGGGAGUGCGUAGAGGCGAAGCAGGUGGCCUUCAAGGAGGUCAUGCAGGAGAAGGCGAACUGUGACAAGCUAACACUCUCCUUGAAGGCAACGGAGGAGCGGUUUGACAAGGCUGAGAUGGAGCUGCGUGUCGCCUUGCAGGAGCAACAGCGGUUGCAGCGCUGCGUCGACGAGAAGUCGAAGGAGCUGCGGCGCCUCAAGGAGGAGGGGGAACUGCGCGAUGCGGACUGUGCACGCCUUGCACGCCACGCAGAGGACGUGGAGUCGCUUGCCAAGCGCACUGCUGAGGAGCUGCGCCAGACGAUCCACGAGCGUGACGACACUAUUCAGCGCCUGCGCAGCGAGCAGGCGACGGUACUUCCCCACCUUAACGAAGAGAAGGGCAAGAGUCUUGUUCUGCUAGAAAAGUUGCAGCAUCAGCAGGAGCUUAGCCGCAUGCACAUGGACAACGCCCAGCAGCGCAUCCGCAGCCUGGAGGAGGCCGUGGCGGCGCGAGAGGCGGAGGUGGCCGCGCUUCAAUGCGACAAGGCGCGCGCCGAGCAGCAGCUUCUAGAGGUUCAAGCACAAGUGACAACGCUCACCGGCACCCUCGACAGUCGUGAGCAUAAGUACCAGCAGCGCAAGGAGGAGGUCCAGAAGGCGCUGCAGCAGGUGGAGGAAGUCAAGGCAGCUACAGUGGUGGCGCUUGAGCGUGCCGAGGGGCAGACAGCCGCCGCCAACGCGAUUCGCGAGAGGUACAAGGCGGAAAAGGCGAAGAUGGAGGUCCUCUUGCAGCGCAUGGAGGAGCGGGUGCGGGCGUCGGCGAAGCGCGAGGAGGAGGAUCGUCAGCGGGAAGCCGACCUGAUGGAGAAGCUCACGGAGACGGAGGAGGCGCUGCGGCGAGCGCAGGACACCGUGGACUCACGUGUCAGUGAGGUGAAGGCGCGUUACGAAGAGAUGCGCCGCCAACAGGAGGAGUCGUUCCGCGACGCCACGAACGGUGCCGUGGCUGCCGAGAAGCUCGCGACCUCUUUGCAAAUGCAGCUGCGCGAGGUGCAGCGCAGAGCGCUGACUGCAGAGGGUAGCUACCGCGAGCUGCAGCGCCACGUCGCAGCGUCCCGAGCUCUGGCACUGGAGGAGUACGCGGAGGAGGCAACGGAAAUGAAGCGAGCGUGCAUGGAACUUGUUCUGCGUGCGCACAGCGGCACCGUGUCCCGCGCCGCAAGCGUUGCCAAGGACAGCUGGUCUGUCGCCCAGAAGAUAGCAGCCGAUCUCUGCGAAGGCGCGAGGGACACGGAGCGGCAUCUGACGCGCCUUCAGUUGAAACACAAGGCGGAGCUGCAAGCCGUCGAGGAGGCGCACCAGCGGCGGAUGGAGGCUGCCGCGGCAGAGCACCACGAGGAAGUUGCGCGUGUUCAGAGAGAGCUGGCUGAGGCGGAGCGGUGCGUGCUGGCACUCAAAGAAGCAGCGCAGCGCACCGACAGCGACCGAGAGCAGCGCACGCACGCCUUGAAGGACUCUCUGGAACGCGUGACAGCGUUGCUGGAGAUGGAGAAACGCCAGACGGCCUCCCUGCACGAGAGGGUGGCUGCAGAUGAGGCGAAGCGCAGCAGUGAUGCGCGCGCUGCCGAGGAGGCGCGUCGAAACCUGCAGCACCAUUACGACAAGCUAAAGCGUCAGCUGGAUGAUCGAGUCGUGGAGCAGAAGCACAACGAGGACGAGCUUCGGGAGCUGCGUGCAGAAGUUGCCGCGCUGCAACGCGUGCUGGGCGAGACAAGGCGGGAGGCGAAGCAAGAGGCCGACCGGGUCACGAAGGAGCAGGAGCGAUUGAUGGCCGCCGUUGAGGCCCGCGAAGUCGCGGAGCAGCGCUGCGGCGAGCUGCAAAAGCAGAUAAACUUCAUGCGCGGACAGCUCGAGACGGCGCGGCUGAGCCACGAGCGCGUCGUCGCCGAGCAUCAGGCGACCCAGCGGACCCGUGAUGUGCGACUCGAGGCAGCGCAAGCAGAGCUCGCCACUGCCGUUGCCGAGAGGCGCAGGUACCAGCGCGAGGGGGAGAGCCUGGAGCAGCGGGUGAAGGAGCUGACAAAAGAGGUACAAACGCUGCGCCAGCACGAGGCAGACAUCCUCGGGCAGCUGCAGUCAUACAAGGCGGAAACCUCAGCGCUGCGUGAGCGGUGCGCGAACGUGGAGUCGCUCAAGAACAUUAGCGAGGCCUCCCUCGCCGAAACGCAAGCGCGCGAGCGAGACCUGAUGGAGAAGAUCGAGGAGCUGCGCAACGCCCAGCAGCUCAUGCAGCUGUGCUUUGACAAACAACAGGAGCAGCUGGAAGUGGGCCGACGCCUCCGCCAGCAGGACGCGCUGCAGGGGCCUCGGUUUUCCUCGUAGCGGCCCUCAGUGUUGGGUGGUGCUGUCUGCGUGCACUGACCUUUUGUUACUUGUACAGUAGAGAAUGACGCCCAUAGACGUAAGCGUAGACGUAGAGGUGCGUAUGCUUGUGUGUGUACGUGGGUGAGUAUGCUUGUC
rnacentral:misc_RNA from 1 species